rnacentral:lncRNA from 1 species
GUUAUGACUUAUGAUCCUGCCAGGCAUUUUGAGUCACUGGUCAAUUGCAGUAAAAUGUUCUGGUUCACAAGCAACAAAUAAUUCUUUGAAUGGUCUUGGUUGAGUCUACCCUCAACACUUACAAGCAUAUCCAAUUGACAUUUUACGGAGUCUACCCUCAAAAUGUUCUGGUUCACAAGCAUAUCCCUCCAUAGGGGCGCAUGGAGAUUGGCAUCGGUGUAUGGGUUUUCUAUGUACUGAACUGUUCUUUUCAAGGGCCUAAUUCUAACAAUGACUUGAAACUGCAAGAGAACCAACAGAAGCCUCUAAUCAAGAACACAAGUGGACCAAAAACUUUGGAACUUUCUGUUUCCCUUGCAAAAUAUUAGUAAAAACUACAGUAUCUUUCCAAGAACAAUCUCAAUAUCCUUGAUCCAUCUCACAAAACGAUCUGAAAAUACAAUUUGAUUCAGCAAACACUACACAAAGGACAUACACUGGCAAUAAUAAUUGUUGGAACACAUACUGCAGUCAAAAAAAGAGUUCAGGCCAGCGACAACUAUGCUCUUAAUCCUAAUGGUUUCCCUACAAGUUAUACUGAUGACAAAAUACACAAGUCUAGCCCAAUGACAUCUCCACUGAGCAAGCAAAACAGAAGAAAAGAAUCUGUCAUGUCUACAAUUUUCUAGUCAUGGAGAUAGUCAGACUCCUAGGAGAUCUCCGAACCUUAGAUGACUCUCCACCAGUAGCACACAUUCCUUUCAAGUCCACAGAAUUCUUAGGUGUUGUCAAAUUCUCCAGUUCAGAUUUUGCAUUUCUGCUCAGUUUCCCAGGGUACCAAAUGUCAUCUGGAUUAAGAGGUAAAGCAGCAGGAUCAAGUUCAAACGAUCCCACAGGUACACCCUCUUUUUCAGUUCCAGUCAUUCUGAAUGCUGGGAUUCGAUGAGAGAACUUGUAAAGUUCAUUUGGCUUCACGAAAAAUGAGCCACCCUUAGUCUGGCUGGUGGGCUGGAAAAGGCUACCAAAUCCACUCACUUUAUCCAGGUAAUUUACUUUUAUACCAACAUCCUCGACAAAAUCAGUAAGAACCUCCACAAUUUCAUAUUUGUACUUUAUAUGUUUUUCUGGAUCUGAACUCCAACCGAUAUCCCAAUUUUUAAAGAGAGCCCAUGUCUCCCCUUCCCUAGGAUAUACAAUGAAUGCACCUCUCUUACCCUUUUCGCAGUGCACUAGAUGAGAGAAUGUAAGACGAUCAUUAGAGUUUUGAGACCUCCCACGUCUAAAUUUCCCACAACCAGCUGGUAACUCUGCCUCUACCCAUUCCAUAUCUCCUUGAUCCUCUGGAUUAGCCUCGAGCCAAGUGAACAGUAGCUCAAAUUCAGGAGACAAAACUUUCCUAAUCUGACAGUAGUAUCUUGGCAUUCCAUCAGCUGUAUCAUAACAAGCCCAGAUUUGGUUAACAGCAAAGCAACUUUCUUCCCUAUGCUUAUCAAAAUCACAAAACUCUGGAUCAGGACACUCGUAUAACUCUGGAGGAUCAUCAAAAGGUUCACUAUCUGGUUCGGAAUCAGAAUCAAUGACUUCAGCUUUUUCUACCCCGCUUGACGGAGGCCCAGCAGCCUUUUUGUCAAAUUUACUACUGUUCGCACUUUUAUCUUGCCCUUUUUCUUUAGGAGGGGCUGUUCCAUUUUGAGUAGACUUUGCCUUGGAAUUACCAUGAAAACCAGUUGAUUUGGCAUUCGUUAAGUCAUCGCCACACACCGUUUCUUCCUGCUUUGAUGUAUCAUCUCCAGCUGGUUGGUUUGCCUGUACCUUCUUCAGAUGGUUUGCCAAAUCAGUCUCGUCAUCACUUGCGCCUUCAUUAUAGGAGACAUGCUGCCGUAGGCGAGAAGACCUCCUAGGGCCACAGCUACCAGACUCAAUGUCCUCAGUUUCAGGCUCGGUGCUGCUGGAAGUAUCAAUGCUCUCACUUGAUUCAACUGUCUGCUUCCUACUCCUUUUCCUGUUAUUUUUAUUAACCUUUGGCACAGACGCCCCUUCAUUUGUAUCGCCCAUUUCCUUGUCAUACUUUUCAGCCUUCCAUUUAGCCUUUAAAUUCUUAUUUACCUGAGCAGUCUUUUCUCUUCUUACCUCUGGUUGUGACCCCAUUGUUCUACUGCUAGGACCCCGUUGAGAUCCCAUUUUGCCAGCUCCUUCUGCCAUUCUUGAGGUUCCCUGGUUUGAAACCUCUUUCUGCUGAUAAGGCGGGCCCGUGGCCGACCUAAGGGGCACAUCCUGACUGCCAGGAUGACUCCAUUUAGGUCCAAGAGGAGCACCUUGAGAACCUAAAUCAUAAGCAAUGAAAGGUUUUGAGCAUUUCUGGCAGCGUAAAGCUCUGUUCACAAAACUCCGGUAGUACUGGUACCUAAUAUUGCAAAAAGGACAUCCAGUCCAGAAUGUUUCCGGCAUUGCUGAUGGAGUCGGCUGUGUUUUCUGAAUAUUAUCCAGAUUACUGAACUGAGUACCAAAACCAUUUGGAGUAUUAUUUUGUCUAGCCGAAGGAUUUCGAUUAACCUGAUGAGAUGGUCGCCUUGCUGCUGCACCUUUAAAUAAAACCCUGUACUUACUAUCAUACAAAGCCCUUUUCGUCGGGUCAGAAAGCACCAUAUUUGCUUCCCCAAUUAGCUUGAAAGCUGCUUCUGCACCUGGAAACUUGUUCUUGUCAGGAUGAAGCACAAGUGCAAGUCUCCGGUAUUGUUUCUUGAUGGUCACUUCAUCAGCAACCAUAUCAAUUUGGAGGAUCCCAUACCAGUCCUUUUCUGACCCCACUGUACUGCUCUGAGCUGAACAGUGAACAUUACAAACAGCAAGUAGCUGCGAUAUAUUCUCUAGCUGAGGGUAAAGCCGUUCAGCUUUCAAUGCAACCUUUUGAGCCCCUAAAAAGUCAUUACCGUGCAUUUUCUUCUCAGCCAGCUCUUUAGCCCUUAGGGCUUCAUCUUUGUUGCAAUCCAUCAUAAUCCCAAUCAAUAUAUUAACCAGUGAGAUGCACUAGACAUGUAUACAGAAAUCUCCAAUGUAUAUUCUCAUGCUCCACACUGCAUUCCUGUCCCAACAAAAAGGAAAACGUCUGUCAAUUCUUGCAGCAAAGCAAGACAGAUCAACCGCUAGCAGGGAAAACUUCUAUCUUCUUUGCAACAACAUGCCGAUCAACAAUUGUUUUUACUAAUUACUGCUCAUGUAGUAACAGUUCUAGAGCUGUCAUGCACACCUAAAAGAAAAGAGAAAGGAAAUUCACCUUCAGUUACAACUUAUGAGCUAUCAAAAUUGAUUUAACUGAUUACUAGUCAUUAAUCCACAUAUUGUAGCUUGUAUGCAACUAACAAUAACAAAACUAGAACUAUUAACACUAAAAUCACCACGAAAGCAAAAUAUGUUUUAAUUAUAUUUUGCUGUCACACAAGUUAUCGAGUUGCUAUCAUACAUGAAUAUUUAACUUGAGUUCUAUAAAACAGAGAAAACUUACAUUUCACAAAAAUGUGAAUGACGCGUAGCAUUUGAUCGAAGUAUGGGAAGGGAUACUGAGACAACAAAGUCCAAGGAAUGUGUUGUAUAAAGCAUUAUAAAACCACCACAACUUUAACAUGCUGAUGAAACCAGAAUGUGUAUAUCAACAUACACUAAAUCUACAUAAACCCUAAAAUUAGAGCAAAUUGCGGAUAAGCAAAUGAAACGAACACUGAUCCGUGCAAAACCCUAAAUAGUUUGAGACUCUGAAUCCAAAAGCUUCAAAGUUCAAAAUCCAUACAAAAUCAAAAAGCACAAUAAGGUUUAAGAAAAUCAUAUAAAGUAACCAUAAAUGUGCAUAUGAAAAUAUGCAUACCUGGUGGAUGAAAAGGAACCUCCAAAGCUUUGACUACAGAAAGAGAUAAAUCUUAUAGGAAUUUGAGAGUGUACGAAUAGUAAAAGGAGGGAAGAGAAUCGCGGGAGAGUGAAAGUGAAAAUUUCAGGAGGCGGGGACAGACCCAGAAUUCUGAAAUUUCAUUUCCCCCAAAAAUCUAACUCUCUUUGUGCUAUUUCCCCAAACGACUGGGGAGCAAUCUAGAGGUUAGGUUUUUUCCUACGGUACAAGCUUAAAUUGGGUUGGGUUGGGCCCACAUUAUAUGUUACUUCACUUUGGCCCAUUCAUAAUUUUGGGUUUCACAUAUAAUUCAAGAGUUUAGUUCUAGCCCACAAUAGAUUUGAUUUGUUAUAAAAUAAUAAAGAAUAGAAGAAGAGUAGAGAGAGAAUAGAUAGUAAUUCUUAUUUUUCUUGAGGGAUUCAAUUGAGAUCCUUAAGGAUAAUUUACAAUGAAGGAAGUCUUCUAUUUAUAGAAGAAAUUUACUCCUAGUUUCUGAUUUUAUUUAUAGGGAAAAUUUAAUCCUAGUUUCUGACUAAAAGACAGAUACUUCAAAUUCUGAUAAAUAUCAAUUAGAUCUUGAUAGAUCUUAUCUAUAUAGACGUUCACUAUAAUAUAUAUAUAUAUAUAUAUAUAUAUAUUUAUUUAUAACACUCCUCCUUGAAUGUCUAAUUGAUAGAUAAUGUGUUUCGUUAAAACCUUACUAAAAAACAUUUAAUGAAAAAAAAAUCUAGUGAAGGAAAAAGAGUACACAUCUCUAAUAAUAUGCAUAUAGGCUGCCUCAUUAAAAACCUUACAAGGAAAGCCUAUUGGGACAAAACCUCGUAAGGAAAAAAGAGUACAGCGCGUAUUAACUCCCCCUAAUGAGAACAUCCUUGAACCUUUGCAUCCCGAUCUUGUGCACCAUCUACUUGAAAGUUGCAAUUGGAGGAGACUUGGUGAAUAAAUCAAUCACAUUAUCAGUCAAACGAAUCAGUUGCACGUUAAUAUCACCAUUUUUUUGUAGCUCAUGGUAUAGAAAAACUUUUGAUGAAGUGUGCUUCGUUCUAUCUCCUUUUAUGAAUCCUUUAUUAAGAUGUGCUAUGCAUGUUGCAUUAUCUAUGUAUAAAAUUAUGGGUACAUUAUCACAUUUCAAACCAUAUUUUUCUCGAAUGACAUAUAUCAUGGACCUCAACCAUACACAUUUUCGGCUAGCUUCAUGAGUAGUUAUUAUCUCGUCACGGUUCAAUAAAGUGGCUAAUAGACUGUUUAGUAUAUCUCCAAGAUAUGACAGUAUCCCACAUGUGAACACAUUGCAUGUUUGAGAUCGAGAUUUAUAUGGGUUAAAGAAGUACCAAAAAUCAACAUGACCAAUAAGAUCGGGACUGCAAUCUUGCUAACAAAUUAAUUGAAAAGACUAUAUCAGGCCUUGUAGUAUUUACAAUAUACAUGAGUGCAUCAAUUGCACUAAGGUAUGGUACUUCAUAACCAAUCCAAAUUGGUAUAUUUCUUAUUUCAUCAAAUAAUCUAUUGCUUUUGAAAACUCUCCAAGAUUUUCAAUAAUUUUCAAGCUAUAAGCUUAUACAAAUAUAAGGAUUCUAAAUAAGUUUUCGAGAAACUUUUAUAUGCCUCAAAUAUUUUGAAUCCUUAGAAAUUUUCAUAUAAAUUUUGUCAAGUGACAAUAUUCAACAUUUCAUAUGUCACAUCUUCAAGUGUCUGGAUUGCAAACAAAUAAGUUUUACACUUACCAAGAUGCAUCAUUUCAUGUCACUUGACAAAUGUUUCUACGUCAGAAUGCUUAAAUAAACGUAGAAUUCAGAUUCUCAGAAUCUUUUACAAUAUUGGGCAAAUAUUGUAUCAAAGAUACCAUUGAUGAUAUAUCAUUUCGUAUCGGUUCACAAUGUGACAUAACAUUUUGAAUUCUCAGCACUUCGUUAUUUUCAGGUACCUGAACCUCUCAUAAGGUUUCAUGAAGUGUUAUGUCAUAGGCUCUUCAAGAGCACAUUGCCUUCUUGUUACGAUUGUUUAUUCCUUAUUCUUUUCAAGGAUUAUUUUAUUUGGAACCAAUUGAUCUACCACGUUUCAUGCAUGCAUGGACUUUGUCCUUCAUGGAUACAAAAUAGGAGCAUUUGCAGCUUAAAUAUGAGAUGCUUUCGGCAUUUGACUUGAAUUAUCUUUUAAAUGAGGAUCUAGUGAUAAUUCCUAACAUAUUUCAUAGCUGCUUAUAAUCUCCCCCUUAUGUUAGGAAAACAAACAUACAUCCUCCAUCUUCUUGGACAAAUCCAUCUUUGUGCAUCAUGGUAUAUUUAUUAAUCGUAUACCGCACAUCAAAACUAUUAGAUGGAAUAGUUGGUUCUUGACCUUGAACCAAUUGAGAGGGAAAAAAUAAUCAUAAUUUAUUGGUCUAAUGCAUACAAGUGCUAUUGUAUGCAAUACAUCAUAUUUCAGACCAACACAUGAAGUUUUGUUCUCAUUAACAAUGGUUUAGCUAUUUAUUGAAGGCAUUCAAUGCCAAACCAUCAUUAUCAAGAUAAAUUGUCUUGAUUGCACAAUCUGAAAACUAUGCUUUUAACUCAAUUUUAUUGAGCAAACAACUUUAUGAAUGUCAAACUGCGGGUUGAUAAUAAAUGUACAUAUGAUUAUCUUAUUGAUGUAUCUUUUCAAUAUAUCACAUGAUAGGUGAAGGGGCCGUUAUUCACCUUUUAUGUUUUUCAGAAUUUAAGGGAUCCAAUCCCAAAAAUAGUUGGUCCUACUAACUUAUCAUGAGAACAAAUGACAAGAAAUUCUUGAAGAAUCUUCUAAUUCUUCAAUACAUGUCUAAUACUUAAUAUGCACAUAAACUUUUAUUCUAAUAAAUUCCUAGUUUACUAUGACAUGUACUUUUUUCUUUAGUAAAUUUCAGAUUUACUACUUUAGAAGUAGAUUUCAAAUAACUCUUCUCAGUUAUUCUACCUCAUUCGAGGGUGAGUUGUGAUACCAUCAUAAUCAACUGCACGUUUGCAUUAAUAAGGUUCUCAUUUCUCAGGAAUGGAAUAUAAAUGUGUCUUAAACCUAUCAAAUUCUAAUAGCUUAUAAUCUCUCUCAUGAUAUUGCUACUUCAGAGCACAUCGAGACAUACAUAUCCUUAAAUUGCUACCACAUUCACUUCACGAAUAUAGAAAAAUUUUCAGACCUAUCAUAUAUUGCUACCACAUUCACUUCAUAGAAUGAAGCAUAUUCAAUGAACAAGUUUCAUGGCUCUUCAUAAAAAAUACAUUAUUUUGCCUUAGUCACCAUAAUAUCAUCAAUAUGGUGCAUCGAGAUUCAAACUCAAUAUCUUAUCCAUAUAAAUGCAUCUUAGGCAUAAAUUGAUGGGACUUGAAUCCAAUAUCUUAUUUACAUCAUGGUACAUCAAGACUUUAACCCAAAAUCUUACCUUUUUGGUGCGAUACGACUUGAAUUCAUAUCUGCAAUGAGGACCUUGAUUGGUUGAGGAUGCUACCAACACAUAAGUUGAUGCUGAAAAUAAGUGCAUAAAACAAAGAGCUACGUAUUACCAAACACAUGAAAAAAAAGAAAGCCCAUGAUAUAACACACUGGACAUAACAAUAAUAAUAAAUUUUUAUAUGAUAAACUUGCAAUAGUAUAGUAAUAAGUUUAUAUGAUAAACUUUUUGUCAUGCUCCACUAAUAUGUACAACAUCAAUUUACAGUCUUUUAUUUACCAAUAAGUAGGCAAAGAGAAUCUCUAUUGAUACAGUUAUGGAGACGUGAUAUCUUCGAGUAAUAGUAAUUUUUACAAAUAUCAACAUAAUUCAAUUUUAAUAUAAUGAAAGAUUAUUAAAAUAAAAUACUUAUCUUUAACUCACGUAACUUUGAAAAUCUCAUAUGAAAUACAAAACUAGACUCAAAAAGAGUAGAGUCUCAUGCCGGUAACGUGUUAUAAAAUAAUAAAGAAGAAGAGUAGAGAGAGAAUAAAUAUUAAUUCUUAUUUCUCUUGAGCGAUUCUAUUGAGAUCUUUAAGGAUAAUUUACAAUGAAGGAAGUCUUCUAUUUAUAAGAGAAAUUUACUCCUAGUUUCUGAUUCUAUUUAUAGGAAAAAUUUACUCCUACUUUUUGACUAAAAGACAGAUACUUCAAAUCCUGAUAGAUAUCAAUUAGAUCUUAAUAGAUCUUAUUAGAUCUUAUCUAUAUAGACAUUCACUGUAAUGUAAAUAUAUUUAUAACAUGAUUCUACUUAUUUUUUGAUAAAUUACACAAAAUUCAAACUUAAGAGACUAUAUUACCCAAUAUUUUUUACCUUUUUAAAAUUUACAUAAAAUCUUUGUUUUCAACUUUACUCUUGAUACAUUUCAACAAAAUCUCCUAUCCUAUUUUUACUCCACCAUUAAUUCAUGCAAGCUAUUUUUUUAAAAAAAUAUUUCCUUUCCUAAGAUCUUUCCCAAAUUAUAAUCAAUUAAAAUUAUAAUCAAUUAAAACAUCUUCCAUCUCCAAGCCCUUUUUUUUUCAAAGAUUUACUUUCCUAAAAUCUCUCCCAAAUUAUCAUUAGUUAAAACAUCUUCCAUCUCCGUUAAUCCAUCUUCUUCAAGUCGUCAAUGUACUACAUUAAAUUAUAAAUUUUUCAAGUUAUUUCAAAAAGGUGAUUUAAUUGUUUAAAUGGAUUUUAAGUUAAUAUUAAACAAUGCAGAUACAUAUAUAAAAAUAUUAAUUUUCGUUAAUCCAACGCAGAUACAAGUUGUGCAUGGAUUUUGUUAAUCCACUAGAUACAUUUAUAAAAAUAUUAAUUUUCUGGAUACAUUUUUCAUAGUGUAACGGUGAUUCAUAUGAAUGAUACUUUUGUUAUCAGUAUAUAGAUGAUACAUUUGUUGACACUGUAUGAGUGAUACAUUUUAUUGUUAGAUUAUUGGUGAUACAUUUUAUUGACAGUAUAUGAGUGAUACAUUUGUAGUUAGAUUAUUGGUGAUACAUAUGUCCUAAAUGUUUCUAUAUCUAUUAUAUUUUUUUUAUUCAUUUAUAAAUGGGUGAUACAUUCAACGUAUGAAUAAAUGAAUCAUCUUUUAAAUUGUAUUUUCUCAGCACAUUUAUUUCAACUAUAAAAAUGUAUCACUAAUAUAACAGAUAACCUCUUAAAACUAAUGCAAACAAUAUUAAUAUGAAUCACAAAACUUUUCAUAAAUAUUUAAUAUGAAUCAUAUUAAUUUCAAACUCACACUCUUUAAAUAUGAAUCAUAAAUUUCAAACUUCAACUUAUAUGUCAAGUAUGCUAAAUGUAUCAUAUAUAUUGAAUAUCUAAUUUUUUUUAAAAAAAUUCAUAGAAAUACAACCAAAUGUAUCACACAUAUUUCAGAUGUAUCACAUAGUAUUCCUUCGUCACCAAAUAAUAAUUUAUAUUCAGAUGUAUGAUGUAUUCAAAUAAUAAUUCCUCUUCUCUUCCUUCUCUUCUUCAUUUACUUCCGUCGAUGAUGCCGUACUAGUCUGCAUAUGAGCAGAGAACUGUGCAUAAACCCCUAAAUUAUUCUCUAAAUUCAAAGUCAGAAAUUCCUCUAAAUCCUUCAAUUUUGAACAAACUCUAACCAUUGCACCCCUAUGUACAUACUUAGACACAGAAACUUUCUACAAAUUUCUAACGUUUAUGUCUGAAGAAACCUUCAGGGGGAAUUGACUGGUGGCGAAGAAUGAGGAAAGUUCUAGCGAUGGUAAAAGAAACAACUUUUACCAAAUGUAUCACAUAGAAGAAGGAAGAAACUCAAUUUGACUCGAUUGUUCACUUCAAAUUUGAAAGUUGAUUGGGGGUAUUGCUGAUUUUGUGAAUCUCAUUAAUUCACUGUGUAAAUGACUGUGCG